GACGAACCGUGCGAACGUUAUUCGGAAUCACUGGGCUUAAAGCGCGUGUAGGCGGGACGGCACGUCGGCCGUUGAAAUCCCCCGGCUCAACCGGGGAAGGGGCGCCGAUACGACCGUCCUGGAGGAACGUAGGGGGAGCUGGAACUUCCGGUGGAGCGGUGAAAUGCGUUGAGAUCGGAAGGAACGCCCGUGGCGAAAGCGAGCUCCUGGACGUUUUCUGACGCUGAGACGCGAAAGCCAGGGGAGCGAACGGG
rnacentral:rRNA from 1 species